GACGAACGCGGCGGCGUGCCUAAUACAUGCAAGUCGAGCGAAGUUUUUUGGUGCUUGCACCGGAAAAACUAGCGGCGAACGGGUGAGUAACACGUAAAGAACCUGCCUCAUAGACUGGGACAACUAUUGGAAACGAUAGCUAAUACCGGAUAACAGCAUUAACUGCAUGGUUGAUGUUUAAAAGUUGGUUUUGCUAACACUAUGAGAUGGCUUUGCGGUGCAUUAGCUAGUUGGUGGGGUAAAGGCCUACCAAGGCGACGAUGCAUAGCCGACCUGAGAGGGUGAUCGGCCACACUGGGACUGAGACACGGCCCAGACUCCUACGGGAGGCAGCAGUAGGGAAUCUUCCGCAAUGGGCGAAAGCCUGACGGAGCAACGCCGCGUGAGUGAAGAAGGAUUUCGGUUCGUAAAGCUCUGUUGUUAGGGAAGAAUGAUUGUGUAGUAACUAUACACAGUAGAGACGGUACCUAAACCAGAAGCC
rnacentral:rRNA from 1 species